AAACACCUCUUUUUCCCUUCAGUUCUAAAUUUUAUUUUGGGCAAAACUCUUAUCCCGCAUGUUCUCUUACCAAAACAAAGUCCUAGUUAAAAGUUAUCUUUCCCUCUUCACGUCUUCAUCAGUACCCCACAGCCGGACUCAUCAACGCCGAAUCUCCAGGAGGUUUUCUCCUCCCUGAUUUUGAUGGUUCUUAUCCCUAAAUUUGAAUAUUAUUCUAGUUACUGCGCCAUACAUGAUCUCCUUGAUGCCGAGUUCUAAAUCGUUGAAAGCCUUCUCCACCACCCUCUGUAAGGGGAAGCCUUUUUAGAACAUCUUAUAAGAUCUAUCAAGCAUUAGACAGCUGCGACGUCAAAGGAUAGCUGUUGAUGGUUGGGAAACAUUUCGGCUAAUCUAUAUACAUUAUGCCACUUCAAGGACAGAUACCAGCUAUUCGACGAGGCAACAACUAUUCAACCGGAACCAGCUAGGCUAGUAAAUUAGGGGAUAUGAUGUUCAAUUUUCUGUUUGAUUUACUUUUAUACUUCAAUGUUUUCUCUUCAAAAUUUUAAAACAUUGGUAGCAAGAGAGUUGUGUAACAAUUGUGAGUAAACUUAUUUAUUUACACUACAAUAAAAAUCUAGUUAUAAUUUCUCA